rnacentral:lncRNA from 1 species
CCCCUUUUUCCUAAACUGUUGGGACCAAAACUCCCAAAAUCAAUACCAACCUUCCUUUUAUGGUCAUAAACCUUGUGUUUAAAUUUCAUAGAUUUCUAUUUACUUAUACUAACGUUAUGGUGCGAAAACCAAGAAAAAUGCUUAUUUGGGUCCCUUUUUGGCCCCUAAUUCCUAAACUGUUGGGUCCUAAACUCCCAAAAUCAAUACCAACCUUCCUUUUGUGGUCAUAAACAUUGUGUUUAAAUUUCAUCGAUUUCUAUUUACUUAAACUAAAGUUAUUGUGCGAAAACCAAGAAAAAUGCUUAUUUGGGCCCUUUAUUGGCCCCUUAUUCCUAAACUGUUGAAACCAAAACUCCCAAAAUCAAUCCCAAUCUUUCUUUUGUGGUUAUAAACCUUGUGUCAAAAUUUCAUAGAUUUCUAUUAACUUAAACUAAAGUUAUGGUGCGAAAACCAAGAAAAUGCUUAUUUGGGCCCUUUUUGGCCCCCAAUUCCUAAAAUGUUGGGACC